rnacentral:tRNA from 1 species
GCUGGCGUAGCUCAGCGGUAGAGCAGCGGUUUUGUAAACCGCAGGUCGUCGGUUCAAUCCCGACCGCCAGCU